rnacentral:rRNA from 1 species
GUCUUAUUGUGAAUUAAAUAAAUAAUAAGUCGAUUCUGCCCAUUGAAAAAAAAAAUUAAAAGGCUGCGGUAUUUUAACUGUACAAAGGUAGCAAAAUAAAUAGUUUUUUAAUUGAAAACUUGAAUGAAAGAGUUAAUAAGAUAUUAAUUGUCUCGAUUUUAUAAUAAUUAAUUUAAAUUAAAAGUUAAAAUGCUUUUAUAAAUUUAUUAGACGAUAAGACCCUAAGAAUUUAAUUAUAUAUUUUUAAUAUAAAUUAUAAUUAUAAUAUUAAAUAUUUAAUAAUUUUAUUGGGAGGAUAAUUAAAUUAUUUAACUUUAAUUGAUAAAAAAUAUUGAUAAAUAAAAAUAAUGAUUAAGAUAAAGAUUAUAAGAAUUAAUUACCUUAGGGAUAACAGCGUAAUAAUUUUGGAGAGUUCAUAUUGAUAAAAUUGUUUACGACCUCGAUGUUGAAUUAAAAUAAAAAUUAAAUGAAGAUAUUUAAAUUUUUAGUCUGUUCGACUAUUAAAAUUUUACAU